rnacentral:rRNA from 1 species
UAUCUCUGUAGAGUCUGCAUAUCAAUAAGCGGAGGAAAAGAAACUAACUAGGAUUCCCUUAGUAACGGCGAGUGAAGCGGGAAGAGCUCAAAUUUGAAAUCUUCAAGGUUCUACCUUGACGAAUUGUAGUUUAAAGAAGUGUUUUCUGUUGGAGUUUUGGUAAAAGUUCUUUGGAAUAGGACAUCAUAGAGGGUGAGAAUCCCGUAUUUGACCAUUUCUUCCAGCUGUGUGAUACACUUUCAAAGAGUCGGAUUGUUUGGGAAUGCAGUCCAAAAUGGGUGGUAAAUUUCAUCUAAAGCUAAAUAUUGGCGAGAGACCGAUAGCGAACAAGUACCGUGAGGGAAAGAUGAAAAGAACUUUGAAAAGAGAGUUAAACAGUACGUGAAAUUGUCAAAAGGGAAGCGUUUGACACCAGUGUUGUUUUUCCGAAAAUCAAUUACGAAUGUUUUGUUUUUAAGAAGUUAUGACUUCAUCGGCUUGCUUCUUUCUUUACGAAACUUUCUUAAUGCACUUUUCGGUUAACAAGUCAACAUCAAUUUCUUUUGUUGUAAAAGGGUCAUUGAGGAAGGUGGCUUUCUUUUCGGAGAAAGUGUUUAUAGCCUUGUGCCUCUGCAAUCGGAGAGAUUGAGGUCUGCAGCGUAGAUCCUUCGGGGUUAGAUACAUUUGUGCUAAGUUAUAGCUUUUCAUAGACAACUUGUUGACUAUGUUUAGUCUUGUAGCUUACUCGCUUACUGCUAUUUUACCUACGCUUAGGAUGUUGAGUAGCGACAUACGCAC